UACGUAGGGUGCAAGCGUUAUCCGGAAUUACUGGGCGUAAAGCGCACGUAGGCGGAUUUGUAAGUCAGGGGUGAAAUCCCGGGGCUCAACCUCGGAACUGCCUUUGAUACUGCAAAUCUCGAGUCCGAUAGAGGUGGGUGGAAUUCCUAGUGUAGAGGUGAAAUUCGUAGAUAUUAGGAAGAACACCGGUGGCGAAGGCGGCCCACUGGAUCGGUACUGACGCUGAGGUGCGAAAGCGUGGGGAGCAAACAGG
rnacentral:rRNA from 1 species